rnacentral:tRNA from 1 species
GCAUCGGUGGUUCGGUGGUAGAAUGCUCGCCUGCCACGCGGGCGGGCCGGUUGAUUCCCCGGCCGAUGCA